rnacentral:rRNA from 1 species
CCAAUAGCGUAUAUUAAAGUUGUUGCAGUUAAAAAGCUCGUAGUUGAAUUUCGGGAUUGGCGCAUCGGUCGUGCCUCACGGGGUAUGAACUGGUGCAGUCAAUUUCUCACCUUCUGGAGAACCGCGAUGUCCUUAAUUGGAUGCCGCGGGGAACCAGGACCUUUACUUUGAAAAAAUUAGAGUGUUUAAAGCAGGCAUUUUUGCUUGAAUACAUUAGCAU